GAUGAACGCUGGCGGCGUGCCUAAUACAUGCAAGUAGAACGCUGAAGGAGGAGCUUGCUCUUCUGGAUGAGUUGCGAACGGGUGAGUAACGCGUAGGUAACCUGCCUGGUAGCGGGGGAUAACUAUUGGAAACGAUAGCUAAUACCGCAUGACAACAGUUAUUGCAUGAUAACUGUUUAAAAGGGGCAACUGCUCCACUACCAGAUGGACCUGCGUUGUAUUAGCUAGUUGGUGAGGUAACGGCUCACCAAGGCGACGAUACAUAGCCGACCUGAGAGGGUGAUAGGCCACACUGGGACUGAGGCACGGCCCAGACUCCUACGGGAGGCAGCAGUAGGGAAUCUUCGGCAAUGGACGGAAGUCUGACCGAGCAACGCCGCGUGAGUGAAGAAGGUUUUCGGAUCGUAAAGCUCUGUUGUAAGAGAAGAACGAGUGUGAGAGUGGAAAGUUCACACUGUGACGGUAUCUUACCAGAAAGGGACGGCUAACUACGUG
rnacentral:rRNA from 1 species